rfam:Schistosoma rodhaini strain Burundi genome assembly, scaffold: SROB_scaffold0000074
AUCCAACUGACGAGUCCCAAAUAUGACAAAACACGCGUCCUGGAU